rnacentral:lncRNA from 1 species
ACAACAAGAACACUAACUGAAGAAUAUGCACGCACUCCAAAAUUGACAAAACGAAACACAACAGUACACUGAUGUAGAGUUGGAAAACUGUCCUGCCAGAGAGUCUUGUUUCCAGGCUUGCUCAUCACAUCAGCCAAGACGAAACAACAAACGCCACACGUACAAAAGGAGGAGUCUUUCCAAGCCACAACGGGUGCCCAGGAGCAGCAGGACGAGAAUGAGGAGCACGACGACACGAGGGUCAAUGUUUGAUUCCCUGGAAUGCUAAUAUUCUCAAAUGCCUUAACCGUAAUGGGAGUGGCACAUUCGUUUAGACUUCAUCCUAUAUACGCUUAUGGACAGGCAGAAAUGAACGGAUACCGUUCUCCAGAGAUAGUAGCUUAAUUAGCUUAAGUUUCAAUCCUAACGCACGAGAAGAAAAACGAAAAGCGUGGGACUUCCAGUACGAUGAUAGGGCCGGACCUCAGUGGUCCUUUAUGUCUGAAGCGGAUGUGGGCGUGGUCAACCGAAUCUGAGCCGUGUGCACUGGCAGGCGUCGGAACGCUAAUCGGAGCACAUAGAGUGGGCGGUGGC